GGGCGACUAGCGCAGUGGGGGAGCACCUGCCUUACAAGCAGGGGGUCGGGGGUUCAAAUCCCUCUUCGCCCACCA
rnacentral:tRNA from 1 species